rnacentral:rRNA from 1 species
AUACGGAGGGUGCAAGCGUUAAUCGGAAUUACUGGGCGUAAAGCGCACGCAGGCGGUUUGUUAAGUCAGAUGUGAAAUCCCCGGGCUCAACCUGGGAACUGCAUCUGAUACUGGCAAGCUUGAGUCUCGUAGAGGGGGGUAGAAUUCCAGGUGUAGCGGUGAAAUGCGUAGAGAUCUGGAGGAAUACCGGUGGCGAAGGCGGCCCCCUGGACGAAGACUGACGCUCAGGUGCGAAAGCGUGGGGAGCAAACGGGAUUAGAUACCCUGGUAGUCCACGCCGUAAACGAUGUCGACUUGGAGGUUGUGCCCUUGAGGCGUGGCUUCCGGAGCUAACGCGUUAAGUCGACCGCCUGGGGAGUACGGCCGCAAGGUUAAAACUCAAAUGAAUUGACGGGG